rnacentral:rRNA from 1 species
CGAAAGCCUGACGGAGCAACGCCGCGUGGGGGAAGAAGGUUCUUGGAUUGUAAACCCCUUUUCUCAGGGAAGAAACCUGACGGUACCUGAGGAAAAAGCCUCGGCUAACUCCGUGCCAGCAGCCGCGGUAAUACGGAGGAGGCAAGCGUUAUCCGGAAUUAUUGGGCGUAAAGCGUCCGCAGGUGGCGAUUCAAGUCUGCUGUCAAAGCACGGGGCUUAACUCCGUUAAGGCAGUGGAAACUGAAUGGCUAGAGUGCCGUAGGGGUAGAGGGAAUUCCCGGUGUAGCGGUGAAAUGCGUAGAGAUUGGGAAGAACACCGGUGGCGAAAGCGCUCUACUGGGUCGCACCUGACCCUCAGGGACGAAAGCUAAGGUAGCG